rnacentral:piRNA from 1 species
UUGUGCUUAUAUGUCUGUGGUUUUAGAAAAU